AGUAGCACAGGCGUAGGACCUUGGCCUCCUAACUGGGGAAAAAAACCACACCAGUGCCUGAACCCAGAUGAGAGACCCAGGCCAAGCAAGUCCUGUAAGACCAGAGAGGCCUUGGGAAGUGACUGUGGAGGGAAGGUAGGGUUAAGAGGCCUCCAGGGACAAGCAGAAGACACCAGGGAGGCCUCAGAAAAGGAUCAGCUUCUGGAGCAGAAGAGCUGGAGGGGUGGACGUGGAUCCUCAAACCCCUGGUCCACUGUGCACUUACUUUCUUCAUCUUUCUGUGAGUUACAAGAUAAUACAGAUGAAUGGUCAGCGAUUAAAACAGCAGGGAAUAUAAAGAAAAAAGUGUAAGCUCCCCUCCUUCCCAGUUUCCCAGAGUCUACUGUGGCCAUCAUUUCAUGCCAGAACAUAACACACCAUCUGUCUCCUGUCUUCUCCUGACUGCAUAGUAUUCCACUGCAGAGGAGUGCAUGCGUGCCCUCUGGUGGACAUAAUAUGUAGCAUCCCUCUGUUGGUGGGCUCCAAUUUUUCCCUGUGCCACACAAGACUGGAAAGGAUUUCCAUACAGAGACAAGAAAAUUGAAACUCAGAGAAGAAAAGUGACUGGCCCAAGACUGCAUGACCCAACAUGGAGCUGCAAUGUCCCAGAGGGGAAGGAGAGCUGAGAUCUGGCAUAGGUCUGGAGCCAGUACUUACAGAUUCUCCACCUUUCCAAGUGAAGCAAAGGGAGCAACUCUCCAGGCUGGACUUGGAACAGAAGUGGAGUUGUUACGGAGACCAUAGCAGACCGUGCGUGGGAAGUGAUUAACCCAGCACCUCGCCCAGAGAAAGAGUUGGAUGAACACAGCUGUCAGGAGGGUUUUUCUGAGAGGUUCCGGGGAUGGCUCUGUGGGCUCCCAAGCAUGUCACCAUCUGCCUCCAUGGGAAGACAAGGGUUGGCAAGCCAAGGGUGUUGUGCCUUGUGGGGCUCCCCCAGUGCUGGGCCAGCAAGUCACACCUACAACACGUUCUGUUCUCAGC